UACUUAAAGAAAUAGGUAUUGGUUGCAC
rnacentral:sRNA from 1 species